CGGUGCUCAGAGCCAACAGGUCAACACAUUUGUGCCAGGGAAGGGGGUGACACUCCCCCGCAGCCCCCGCUGCUGUGAUGCUGACGAACCCGUAAAUGCCACUGAUCUCCGGAUCGGGAAGGACGGGGGAGGAUGACGCUAAGCCAGAAGACCUGCCUGUCGGUAAUCAUCAAC
rnacentral:ncRNA from 2 species